CUAUAAAUUACCUUCCCUCCAUUCCUCUCAAUCUCAGUCUAUUCACACCUACUACAUAGCAAAAAGUGAUAGUAAGAAGAAAGAUGGAGUCAUUUCAGUCUUGGGUUUCAGAACACAAGCUCACUGCCAUUGGAGCAGUUUGGGCAUCAGCAAUUGGGGCAUCACUGGCUUAUAAUAGUGGUGGAAGAAGCUCUCUUAAGCCAAGUCUGAGGCUUAUUCUGCAAGGAUGCACUCGCAGGCCUUAACUCUGGCGGUGCUGUCUGGUGCAGCUGCGUACCAUUACU